GGGGCAAAGCUCAGGGGAAGAACUUCUACCUUUCAAGGAGAAGGCCGCAGGUUCAACCCCUGGAACCUCCA